UUUGAUUCAUAUAUGAAGU
rnacentral:snRNA from 1 species